rnacentral:sRNA from 1 species
CGUGGGAUGCCGAAGUCGGGUCCCGCCAAUCACUCGCUGAAAUUCAGGAGAUACGAUCAUGACC